GAUGAACGCUGGCGGCGUGCUUAACACAUGCAAGUCGAACGAGAAGUGGAGACGGAAACCUUCGGGCGGAGGACUUUAUUUCGAGUGGCGGACGGGUGAGUAACGCGUGGGUAACCUGCCUCAUACAGGGGGAUAACAGUUGGAAACGACUGUUAAUACCGCAUAAGACCACAGCACCGCAUGGUGCGGGGGUAAAAACUCCGGUGGUAUGAGAUGGACCCGCGUUCGAUUAGCCAGUUGGCGGGGUAACGGCCCACCAAAGCGACGAUCGAUAGCCGAUCUGAGAGGAUGACCGGCCACAUUGGGACUGAGACACGGCCCAAACUCCUACGGGAGGCAGCAGUGGGGAAUAUUGCACAAUGGGGGAAACCCUGAUGCAGCGACGCCGCGUGAGUGAAGAAGUAUUUCGGUAUGUAAAGCUCUAUCAGCAGGGAAGAAAAUGACGGUACCUGAGUAAGAAGCCCCGGCUAACUACGU
rnacentral:rRNA from 1 species